UACGAAGGGGGCUAGCGUUGUUCGGAUUUACUGGGCGUAAAGGGUGCGUAGGUGGCUAGGUAAGUUCGAUGUGAAAUCUCCGGGCUUAACCCGGAAAGUGCAUUGAAUACUAUCUAGCUUGAGGGUUGGAGGGGGGACUGGAAUUCUCGGUGUAGCAGUGAAAUGCGUAGAUAUCGAGAGGAACACCAGUGGCGAAGGCGAGUCCCUGGACAACUCCUGACACUGAGGCACGAAAGCUAGGGGAGCAAACGUG
rnacentral:rRNA from 1 species